rfam:Anoxybacillus sp. BCO1 LR68_contig000003, whole genome shotgun sequence.
UCCGUGGUGACGCGGAAUCUGAAAGAAGCGAGCGGCAAACUUCCGGUCUAUGGAGGGAAAUAUUGCACUC